ACCCGAAAUAGCGAGGAGCGGAGCGGCCGGGAUGACGCGGAAGCCGCCGGGGACUGACUCACCCGGGCCCCGAGCGGCGGCCCCCGGAUGGGGGACAGGGGAGGCGCCUGGACCGGACCCCCGCCAUCCCGGACACCUCUUCUGCCUGGACAUCCUAAGUUUCCACGUGGCACUGUGGAUGGAUGUGCAGCAAAAGGAGGAGCUGCAGCAUGAGAGACCGAGGUUAGAUCAGAGGAAAACACCUUGCAAGUUCCCACAGUGACCCCGGGAUCUUGGAGGAGGAGGUUCUGGGGACCUGAGUUCUGGUUCUGGCUCUGCUUUCUUUCUGAGCCUCACUUUCUUCGUGUGAGGAGACAGCAUCUGAAAGACACAGGAACUCUGUCUUCAGGGUGGAAGGCGACGGGCCCCCAAACACUGUAUUCAUUUCCUGUGGCGGCCUAACAAGUUCCCACAAACGUGGUGGCUCAACACACCAGAAAUAUAUUCCCUCUCUUCUGGAGGCCAGAAAUAUUAAAUCAAGGUGGGGCCAGGGCCGCAUCCCAUGAAGCUUCUA